AGAUGUGCAACCAGGCUUCACUCCAAUCUCUCUGAUACAGGCUCUUACAAGUUCAGAAUAGUGAGUACUAGGUAGAUAAGGCGAGUUAGGCUUAUGGUUGUUUUCUUUAUUUGCAAAUGUGUAUUUGGCUGGGAGGAGUUCAAAUGUGUAUUUGGCUGGGAGGAGUUCAAAUGUGUGUUUGGCUGGAAGGAGUUCAAAUUUCUAUUUUGUUGAAAGGAUUUUUAUUUGUACUUGUAUACUUAGGCUGGGAGGGUAUUCCCAGUGUCUAUAGCUGAAAGACCCUGUAACAUAUUCCAUCUUCAUUUUACAAAGAUAGUUUUUACUGUUUUUUCUCUUUAAUUAAAAGUUUUUGUUGUUUAAGAA